UACGAAGGGGGCUAGCGUUGUUCGGAAUCACUGGGCGUAAAGGGCGCGUAGGCGGCCUGAUAAGUCGGGGGUGAAAGCCUGUGGCUCAACCACAGAAUUGCCUUCGAUACUGUCGAGCUUGAGACCGGAAGAGGUAAGUGGAACUGCGAGUGUAGAGGUGAAAUUCGUAGAUAUUCGCAAGAACACCAGUGGCGAAGGCGGCUUACUGGUCCGGUUCUGACGCUGAGGCGCGAAAGCGUGGGGAGCAAACAGG
rnacentral:rRNA from 1 species